rnacentral:rRNA from 1 species
AGCUGUGAUGGGGAAGCUCCUUAUGGAGCGAAGUCUUUGAUUCCCCGCUGCCAAGAAAAGCUUCUAGCGAGAUAAAAGGUGCCUGUACCGCAAACCGACACAGGUAGGCGAGGAGAGAAUCCUAAGGUGUGCGAGAGAACUCUGGUUAAGGAACUCGGCAAAAUGACCCCGUAACUUCGGGAGAAGGGGUGCUUUCUUAACGGAAAGCCGCAGUGAAUAGGCCCAAGCGACUGUUUAGCAAAAACACAGCUCUCUGCGAAGCCGUAAGGCGAAGUAUAGGGGGUGACACCUGCCCGGUGCUGGAAGGUUAAGGAGAGGGGUUAGCGUAAGCGAAGCUCUGAACUGAAGCCCCAGUAAACGGCGGCCGUAACUAUAACGGUCCUAAGGUAGCGAAAUUCCUUGUCGGGUAAGUUCCGACCCGCACGAAAGGUGUAACGAUUUGGGCACUGUCUCAACCAGAGACUCGGUGAAAUUAUAGUACCUGUGAAGAUGCAGGUUACCCGCGACAGGACGGAAAGACCCCGUGGAGCUUUACUGUAGCCUGAUAUUGAAUUUUGGUACAGUUUGUACAGGAUAGGCGGGAGCCUUUGAAACCGGAGCGCUAGCUUCGGUGGAGGCGCUGGUGGGAUACCGCCCUGACUGUAUUGAAAUUCUAACCUACGGGUCUUAUCGACCCGGGAGACAGUGUCAGGUGGGCAGUUUGACUGGGGCGGUCGCCUCCUAAAGUGUAACGGAGGCGCCCAAAGGUUCCCUCAGAAUGGUUGGAAAUCAUUCGUAGAGUGCAAAGGCAUAAGGGAGCUUGACUGCGAGACCUACAAGUCGAGCAGGGACGAAAGUCGGGCUUAGUGAUCCGGUGGUUCCGCAUGGAAGGGCCAUCGCUCAACGGAUAAAAGCUACCCCGGGGAUAACAGGCUUAUCUCCCCCAAGAGUCCACAUCGACGGGGAGGUUUGGCACCUCGAUGUCGGCUCAUCGCAUCCUGGGGCUGUAGUCGGUCCCAAGGGUUGGGCUGUUCGCCCAUUAAAGCGGUACGCGAGCUGGGUUCAGAACGUCGUGAGACAGUUCGGUCCCUAUCCGUCGUGGGCGUAGGAAAUUUGAGAGGAGCUGUCCUUAGUACGAGAGGACCGGGAUGGACGCACCGCUGGUGUACCAGUUGUUCUGCCAAGGGCAUAGCUGGGUAGCUAUGUGCGGAAGGGAUAAGUGCUGAAAGCAUCUAAGCAUGAAGCCCCCCUCAAGAUGAGAUUUCCCAUAGCGUAAGCUAGUAAGAUCCCUGAAAGAUGAUCAGGUUGAUAGGUUCGAGGUGGAAGCAUGGUGACAUGUGGAGCUGACGAAUACUAAUAGAUCGAGGACUUAACC